GAUCCUGGCUCAGGAUGAACGCUAGCUACAGGCUUAACACAUGCAAGUCGAGGGGCAGCAUUGGGAUAGCUUGCUAUUCCAGAUGGCGACCGGCGCACGGGUGAGUAACGCGUAUCCAACCUUCCCCUUAGUAGAGGAUAGCCCGGCGAAAGUCGGAUUAAUACUCUAUGUUGUGUUUUUGAGGACAUCUGACGAACACCAAAGGCUUACCGCUAAGGGAUGGGGAUGCGUCUGAUUAGCUUGUUGGCGGGUAACGGCCCACCAAGGCGACGAUCAGUAGGGGUUCUGAGAGGAAGGUCCCCCACAUUGGUACUGAGACACGGACCAAACUCCUACGGGAGGCAGCAGUGAGGAAUAUUGGUCAAUGGGCGAGAGCCUGAACCAGCCAAGUAGCGUGCAAGGAAGACUGCCCUAUGGGUUGUAAACUGCUUUUAUCAGGGAAUAAAGUGCGGCACGUGUGCUGUUUUGUAUGUACCUGAUGAAUAAGGACCGGCUAAUUCCGUGCCAGCCGCCGC
rnacentral:rRNA from 1 species